AUUGAACGCUGGCAGCAGGCCUAACACAUGCAAGUCGAACGAGUGGCGGACGGGUGAGUAAUGUCUGGGAAACUGCCUGAUGGAGGGGGAUAACUACUGGAAACGGUAGCUAAUACCGCAUACCAUCGGAUGUGCCCAGAUGGGAUUAGCUAGUAGGUGGGGUAAAGGCUCACCUAGGCGACGAUCCCUCGCUGGUCUGAGAGGUUGACCAGCCACAAUAGAACUGAGACACGGACCAUACUCCUACGGGAGGGAGCAGUGGGGAAUAUUGCACAAUGGGCGCAAGCCUGAUGCAGCCAUGCCGCGUGUAUGAAAAAGGCCUUCGGGUUGUAAAGCACUUUCAGCUGGGAGGCGUUACCCGCAGAAGAAGCACCGGCUAACUCCGUGCCAGCAGCCGCGGUAAUUC
rnacentral:rRNA from 1 species